GAAGAAGCGGAGAAUGGGAGAGUGAUGCUUGGGAACAUGCCUUGAGGUGGGGGACAACAGUUGGAAACGACUGCUAAUACCGCAUAAUGUCUACGGACCAAAGGGGGCUUCGGCUCUCGCCUUUAGAUUGGCCCAAGUGGGAUUAGCUAGUUGGUGAGGUAAUGGCUCACCAAGGCGACGAUCCCUAGCUGGUUUGAGAGGAUGAUCAGCCACACUGGGACUGAGACACGGCCCAGACUCCUACGGGAGGCAGCAGUGGGGAAUAUUGCACAAUGGGCGCAAGCCUGAUGCAGCCAUGCCGCGUGUGUGAAGAAGGCCUUCGGGUUGUAAAGCACUUUCAGUCAGGAGGAAAGGUUAGUAGUUAAUACCUGCUAGCUGUGACGUUACUGACAGAAGAAGCACCGGCUAACUCCGUGCCAGCAGCCGCGGUAAUACGGAGGGUGCGAGCGUUAAUCGGAAUUACUGGGCGUAAAGCGUACGCAGGCGGUUUGUUAAGCGAGAUGUGAAAGCCCCGGGCUCAACCUGGGAACUGCAUUUCGAACUGGCAAACUAGAGUGUGAUAGAGGGUGGUAGAAUUUCAGGUGUAGCGGUGAAAUGCGUAGAGAUCUGAAGGAAUACCGAUGGCGAAGGCAGCCACCUGGGUCAACACUGACGCUCAUGUACGAAAGCGUGGGGAGCAAACGGGAUUAGAUACCCCGGUAGUCCACGCCGUAAACGAUGUCUACUAGAAGCUCGGAACCUCGGUUCUGUUUUUCAAAGCUAACGCAUUAAGUAGACCGCCUGGGGAGUACGGCCGCAAGGUUAAAACUCAAAUGAAUUGACGGGGGCCCGCACAAGCGGUGGAGCAUGUGGUUUAAUUCGAUGCAACGCGAAGAACCUUACCUACACUUGACAUACAGA
rnacentral:rRNA from 1 species